GGGAGACCCUGGUGGCCGGUUUUGGUCGGUCACGUGGGCACGCGGCUGAGCCAAUCAGAAUCUCCCGGCAGUUGGUUCCCGGAGGCAGAAUCUGUUAAACUGACAAAGCCCACGUCUCCGGGUCCCUGUCUCGGGGAGUCGGGACUAUUGGGUCACCCCGGGUAGUCGAGACUCUAGACUGAGCUGUCUCGGUCACUCAGGAGGCAGUUGGCAGAGUAUUCGUGGUCAGGGAGGUGACCCGUGGUCAGCAGGGUCAGGCCACCCAGGGACAAAGGGUGCUCCUGCACCGGGCCUUGGAGAAGGACAGAGCGGUGGGGACUUGGGGUCAGCGGGGGAGCCUCCGCGGAUGGGGAGUCACCACCUGCCGGCAAUCAGCCAUGACUGCCUUUGCACUGUCCAUGCUCUCAGCCCACCACCUCCUCCCCCUGCCAUUGCAGUGGCUAACACUGGAGACGAAGACCAAGACACCACAGCCUUUCUCCAGUACCUCUCAAAUCAGCACAGACAAGGACAAAGGCCUCAAUCCACAACUGCUGAAGAUGGACCCUGGCCACAUGGGAUGGUCAGACACGCCUGCCCAGCUAUCUGCAGGCGAAGAGGCUCAGAAGAGGUUUAGGGGCCUGAAGGACAUCUUGCUUCCAUGUCCAUAUGAGCAGGCUAUUUCUGCUCCAUGAGUCAAUUUUGCCAUAUAAAAUACUUAAUUUCAGCCAUUCCAGGGUGCUAUAGGAUGCACAGCUUCCCAUCAGCCCACCUGAACUCCAGCCAUGCCAUUUUAAUACCAGGAAUAAGGUCACCUGCUUUCCUGCCCCUUAGGAGGCCGGAGCCGUGGAAGCAAAAUGGCACUUCUGUUUACCUGUUAUAUUAUUUUUUUGUCAUCCUUAUAUGUUUGAAAAAUGCAAUUAUAUGAAAAAAGUUUAGUAAUUACAGACAUAACAGCAGAAAGUCCUCGGAACCAAGCUUAUUCUCAUGGCCGAUUCUGCUCCACCUGGGACUCUGCUGUGCUGCGGGCAUCCUGUGGUCAGAAUCGCAGAGGGGCCAUCAGGGAGGACCUUCCCAGAGGAUGGACCUCACGUGACUGCUGCGUGGGCAAGUGGCACUGGCCACUCUGCCUGGAGAGAGGAGUAAAUGCAGGGCUGGCCAGGCGACCUGCACACUCUGCUACCGGCCUUGUCCAUCUUUAGCCUCUAAUUUGAAAAUGAGGAUCACACAGACCAAGAGUAUCUUUGAGGGUUAGUACAGACCACAGAAAUGCCCUGGGCCUUUCACUCUCUCCUUUUGCAAAUUCCCAUGUGUGGAAAUGCCGUUUGGAUAAUGAGGGAGCCUGAAGGAGGUGGACACAUGAGCAGCCCCGACAGGCCUGGCUCCAUCCUCUGAAAAUGGGGCCCCGUGCCCGGCGUGUGGCCUUACUGGUUCAGUCUUCUUUACAGUGGUAGGUUUUGAGUGCCCAGAUGCCCAGUGCCUCCUACCCGGAACAGGACAGGACCAGGCUGUCCCCUGGAAGAAUCCCAUGCACACUUGGCUAUUCAGGGAGUUUCCACCCAGCCGAGCUCGCCUCUGUGGCUACCCUGGUCUUGCUGCUCAUAUCUGCCAGGAAAGGCCUGGACUUGGAGAGAAACCUGGGAUUUGGAUUCAGUCCUUGCCAGCCUGGCUGGUUCAUAUCCUUACCUCUGUCUGUGGAAGCCUAUGUUCCUGAGCAGCGAGUCAGAGGGGGCAUCUGAACGCAGAGCAGGGAGCUUCAGAUGGGAAGAAGUCAGAGGAACCAGAAUGUAUCAGACGAUGUGGAGUUGGGUGCCUGAGCUCAAAGCAAGCUGGGCCUUGGGCUGGCUGUGUGAUCUUGGGCAAGUUCGACCAGCUUCUUUGUGCCUCUUUUCUCUCCUUAAUAAGAUAAAUGUCUUCACUAGUACACUGAGGGCUGCCAUUAAGUUCUAUGUGCAGGGAUCCAAGGCAGGCCCUAGGUCUCUUGGUGAGUGCUACUCCUCCUUACAAUUUGCUGCCCGGAGCAACAUUGGGUGACAGAACUUCUUAGCACCUUGGCAGUCCUUGUCCUCCUGGACCCUCUGUUUUGAGGGUGGAAUGAGGUGAAGGGCAAGUGCUUUCCCAGCUGGUCAGGUGCUCUACCAACUGGGCAUAUUCUAAUCCCCCCAGAGUAUACAGAUCAGAGUUUGAUGUGGCCAAUGGGUCCAAUGCCCAAGUGAGAAUCUCUUGAUGAAGUUAUUGGUGUGGGGUUUUGCUUUGGUUUUUAAUUAUAGAGAGCAAAAGUAUUGAAAGUAUUACAUUUACCCUAAAGGUGUAAGCAAGUUAUGGUCAAGUGAAGAUGAAGUACCAUCCUCAAACACGGGUUCCAUUCUUAGCUCAUCUCAUUUAAAGGAGAGAAAAGCCUUGCAGGUGAAACAUGGUGGGGGUAGACAGGGGUUCAGCCAAUUUCAGUGUUUGGCCCCAAGAAGUGAAUUUGGGUUUGAGGACCUCUCUCUGGAAGGAUUUUAUGACCAGAUCUUCCUGGAGAUGAUAUUAGAAGCUUUUCUCACCAAAUAUUUAUUUGCCUGGGGUGCAACUUCUGCUUCAUUCUCUCUUUGACUCCAGCUGUCUUUUUGGACUGAAGUGCAGGUUGCUCACAGCAUCCUACAAAGUAACUGUCUUCCCAAAUCUCACUUACCUCUGAGUUUCUGCUGUAUUCCUGUCUUUCUCUCUCUCUUUUUGAACUGGAAUCUAUUACUUUGGAUGAUGCAUGCUGGCGUUUUCUAAAGUUUUCUGAUUGAUUGUGUCUUUAAAAAAUAAUCUGAUAGUAUUUUAGCUUCU
ensembl:lncRNA LINC00654 long intergenic non-protein coding RNA 654